rnacentral:rRNA from 1 species
CACGUAGGGCGCAAGCGUUGUCCGGAAUUAUUGGGCGUAAAGAGCUCGUAGGCGGUCUGUCGCGUCGGCUGUGAAAACCCGGAGCUCAACUCCGGGCCUGCAGUCGAUACGGGCAAACUGGAGUGUUGCAGGGGAGACUGGAAUUCCUGGUGUAGCGGUGAAAUGCGCAGAUAUCAGGAGGAACACCGGUGGCGAAGGCGGGUCUCUGGGCAACAACUGACGCUGAGGAGCGAAAGCGUGGGGAGCGAACAGG